CACCUUGGAGAUAAUUUUAUAGACUACAUUGCAACAUGCAAUAGGUUUAUAUUCUCCAUUCAGCUGCAUGGUUAUUCUUUGGGAUGAGAGUCAGUGUUGUUCUGUUGAUUAUCCUUAGCAUUUUUGAUGAGCUAAAGAACUCCUUCACACUUCCAAUGACAUAUUCCUUCACCACUGUCCAACAAUCCUUAAAGAAUUGAGAGCCAUACUCAUCUGGUCCUGGGGACUUGUCUCAUACUAUUGACCAUAGGGCUGCCUUUAUCUCUUUUUCUGAACUUGAGCUUCUAAUUCUCCCUUUGUUCUUAUUGAAUCACUUGCCCUUGUCUGACAAGGUUGUUGCAUACAUGUUUC
rnacentral:lncRNA from 1 species